GACGAACCGUCCAACCGUUAUUCGGAAUCACUGGGCUUAAAGGGCGCGUAGGCGGCCGAGCGGGUCACGGGUGAAAUCCUCCAGCUUAACUGGAGAACUGCCCUUGAUACCACUGCGGCUCGAGGAAGGAAGGGGCAAUCGGAACUGUCGGUGGAGCGGUGAAAUGCGUUGAUAUCGACAGGAACGCCGGUGGCGAAAGCGGAUUGCUGGUCCUUGUCUGACGCUGAGGCGCGAAAGCCAGGGGAGCAAACGGG
rnacentral:rRNA from 1 species